AUGAUCAUUACUAGAGCAAAGGAUAGACACUACCCUACUUCGGUAGGGUUUAGAGUCGUCGGGCCUCUCGGAGAAGCUCGGUCCUGAACUCCACCCUUGAAUAAAUUACCUUUGUUGCUUUGGCGGGCCGCCUCGUGCCAGCGGCUUCGGCUGUUGAGUGCCCGCCAGAGGACCACAACUCUUGUUUUUAGUGAUGUCUGAGUACUAUAUAAUAGUUAAAACUUUCAACAACGGAUCUCUUGGUUCUGGCAUCGAUGAAGAACGCAGCGAAAUGCGAUAAGUAAUGUGAAUUGCAGAAUUCAGUGAAUCAUCGAAUCUUUGAACGCACAUUGCGCCCUCUGGUAUUCCGGGGGGCAUGCCUGUUCGAGCGUCAUUAUAACCACUCAAGCUCUCGCUUGGUAUUGGGGUUCGCGGUUUCGCGGCCCCUAAAAUCAGUGGCGGUGCCUGUCGGCUCUACGCGUAGUAAUACUUCUCGCGAUUGAGUCCGAUAGGUCUACUUGCCAGUAACCCCCAAUUUUUACAGGUUGACCUCGGAUCAGGUAGGGAUACCCGCUGAACUUAAGCAUAUCAAUAAGACGGAGGAAAA
rnacentral:rRNA from 1 species